AGGACGAACGCUGGCGGCGUGCUUAACACAUGCAAGUCGAGCGGAAAGGCCCUUCGGGGUACUCGAGCGGCGAACGGGUGAGUAACACGUGAGCAAUCUGCCCUUAGCUUCGGGAUAGCCCCGGGAAACCGGGAUUAAUACCGAAUACGACCUCGGCCGACAUCGGCUUUGGUGGAAAGUUUUUCGGCUAGGGAUGAACUCGCGGCCUAUCAGCUUGUUGGUGGGGUAAUGGCCUACCAAGGCGACGACGGGUAGCCGGCCUGAGAGGGCGACCGGCCACACUGGGACUGAGACACGGCCCAGACUCCUACGGGAGGCAGCAGUGGGGAAUAUUGCGCAAUGGGCGAAAGCCUGACGCAGCGACGCCGCGUGGGGGAUGAAGGCCUUCGGGUUGUAACCCCUUUCAGCAGGACGAAGCGAGAGUGACGGUACCUGCAGAAGAAGCGCCGGCUAACGUACGUGCCAGCAGCCGC
rnacentral:rRNA from 1 species